rnacentral:rRNA from 1 species
GUAGGUACUAAUUUCACCCUGUAGCCCAAGACUGGUUACCCACUGAAGCUAAGCAGGGCUGAGCCUGGUCAGUACCUGGU